rnacentral:rRNA from 1 species
AGUGAACGCUGGCGGUAGGCCUAACACAUGCAAGUCGAACGGCAGCACAGGAGAGCUUGCUCUCUGGGUGGCGAGUGGCGGACGGGUGAGGAAUACAUCGGAAUCUACUUUUUCGUGGGGGAUAACGUAGGGAAACUUACGCUAAUACCGCAUACGACCUACGGGUGAAAGCAGGGGACCUUCGGGCCUUGCGCGAUUGAAUGCGCUGAUGUCGGAUUAGCUAGUUGGCGGGGUAAAGGCCCACCAAGGCGACGAUCCGUAGCUGGUCUGAGAGGAUGAUCAGCCACACUGGAACUGAGACACGGUCCAGACUCCUACGGGAGGCAGCAGUGGGGAAUAUUGGGCAAUGGGCGCAAGCCUGAUCCAGCCAUACCGCGUGGGUGAAGAAGGCCUUCGGGUUGUAAAGCCCUUUUGUUGGGAAAGAAAUCCAGCUGGCUAAUACCCGGUUGGGAUGACGGUACCCAAAGAAUAAGCACCGGCUAACUUCGUGCCAGCCGCCGCAGUAA